rfam:Clostridium botulinum A str. ATCC 3502 complete genome
UUAAAAGCUGUGAUGAGAAGAAGUAAAAAUAUAAAUUCUUUUAAAGAGAGCUUCUGGUUGGUGAAAAGAAGAAAAGAAAGAUAUUUUGAAUACAUCUCUGAGCGGAGCACCGAAUCCUUAUUUAAGGUAGUAGAUUGUUUUCGGAAUCCCUGCACCCGUUAUAGUGCUAGAGUAUAGAAACUAUUUUUAGUUUAGUACUUGAAAAGGUUAGGUAUGGUGACAUAUCUAAUAAAACGAGGUGGUACCACGUGAGUAUAACUCCCGUCCUCUAG